rnacentral:tRNA from 1 species
GCGGGCGUGGCGAAACUGGUAGACGCAAGGGACUUAAAAUCCCUCGCCCGAAAGGGAGUGUGGGUUCGACCCCCACCGUCCGCACCA